AGAGUUUGAUCCUGGCUCAGAUUGAACGCUGGCGGCAUGCCUUACACAUGCAAGUCGAACGGUAACAGGUUAAGCUGACGAGUGGCGAACGGGUGAGUAAUAUAUCGGAACGUGCCCAGUAGUGGGGGAUAGCCCGGCGAAAGCCGGAUUAAUACCGCAUACGACCUACGGGUGAAAGCGGGGGAUCGCAAGACCUCGCGCUAUUGGAGCGGCCGAUAUCAGAUUAGCUAGUUGGUAGGGUAAAAGCCUACCAAGGCGACGAUCUGUAGCUGGUCUGAGAGGACGACCAGCCACACUGGGACUGAGACACGGCCCAGACUCCUACGGGAGGCAGCAGUGGGGAAUUUUGGACAAUGGACGCAAGUCUGAUCCAGCCAUGCCGCGUGCGGGAAGAAGGCCUUCGGGUUGUAAACCGCUUUUGUCAGGGAAGAAAAGUCUGGGGCUAAUAUCCUCGGAUGAUGACGGUACCUGAAGAAUAAGCACCGGCUAACUACGUGCCAGCAGCCGCGGUAAU
rnacentral:rRNA from 1 species